AUUAAAUGAGAGUUUGAUCCUGGCUCAGGACGAACGCUGGCGGCGUGCCUAAUACAUGCAAGUAGAACGCUGAAGACUUUAGCUUGCUAAAGUUGGAAGAGUUGCGAACGGGUG
rnacentral:rRNA from 1 species